UACGUAGGUCCCGAGCGUUGUCCGGAUUUAUUGGGCGUAAAGCGAGCGCAGGUGGUUUAAUAAGUCUGAUGUAAAAGGCAGUGGCUCAACCAUUGUGUGCAUUGGAAACUGUUAGACUUGAGUGCAGUAGAGGAGAGUGGAAUUCCAUGUGUAGCGGUGAAAUGCGUAGAUAUAUGGAGGAACACCGGUCGCGAAAGCGGCUCUCUGGACUGUAACUGACACUGAGGCUCGAAAGCGUGGGUAGCAAACAGG
rnacentral:rRNA from 1 species